rnacentral:rRNA from 1 species
UGGGGAAUCUUCCGCAAUGGACGAAAGUCUGACGGAGCAACGCCGCGUGAGUGAAGAAGGUUUUCGGAUCGUAAAACUCUGUCUUUUGGGGCGAACGUGAGUAUGGUGAACAAUCAUAGUCAGUGACGGUACCAAAGGAGGAAGCCACGGCUAACUACGUGCCAGCAGCCGCGGUAAUACGUAGGUGGCAAGCGUUGUCCGGAAUUAUUGGGCGUAAAGAGCGCGUAGGCGGGAUAGUCAGUCUGUUGUAAAGUGCGGGGCUCAACCCCGUGAUGGCAAUGGAAACAGCUAUUCUUGAGUGCAGGAGAGGAAAGUGGAAUUCCCAGUGUAGCGGUGAAAUGCGUAGAUAUUGGGAGGAACACCAGUGGCGAAGGCGACUUUCUGGACUGUGUCUGACGCUGAGGCGCGAAAGCCAGGGGAGCGAACGGGAUUAGAUACCCCGGUAGUCCUGGCCGUAAACGAUGGGUACUAGGUGUGGGGGGUAUCGACCCCUUCCGUGCCGGAGUUAACGCAAUAAGUACCCCGCCUGGGGAGUACGGUCGCAAGACUGAAACUCAAAGGAAUU